rnacentral:lncRNA from 1 species
GGGAGGGCUGGAUUCAGGGAUCUGGCUGGUGUGAUCCUAGUUUGACAGGCUCAGGGUCAUCUGGUCAACCCCUGCCUGGCACCCACAGCCCCUGGGCCAUCCCCUCCUCUCUGUGUGCCAGACAAGGUAGGCUGUCGUAUGGGGUCUCCUUGGUGGAGGAGGGUCCUCAGGAGGAGGCCCAGGAGAAUGGGCCUGGAGGGACUUGGAGGUGGUGGCCCUUCCUUGCUUUGCCACCUUGCUUGAUACAGGCCUGUGGGGAGAAGUGCGGGGUCUGAGGCUUCUAUGCCCCCAGUUCUUGGAAAACCAGCCCCUCUCCCAGAGCACCUUGCCCUGGCAUUGGUGCCCCACCCUGCUCAUUCUGAUCCUCACUGCAUCCCCACGCUGCCAGCCUGUCCCCACCCCCAACUGCUACCAGGGCCUGUAACCCACUGG